rnacentral:rRNA from 1 species
AGGACGAACGCUGGCGGCGUGCUUAACACAUGCAAGUCGAGCGGAAAGGCCCUUCGGGGUACUCGAGCGGCGAACGGGUGAGUAACACGUGAGCAACCUGCCCCUGGCUCUGGGAUAGCCUCCGGAAACGGGGAUUAAUACCGGACAUUCUCCUUCUUCCGCAUGGUUGAGGGUGGAAAGUUUUUUCGGCCGGGGAGGGGCUCGCGGCCUAUCAGCUUGUUGGUGGGGUAACGGCCUACCAAGGCGACGACGGGUAGCC